rnacentral:misc_RNA from 1 species
GCACCCUCAAGCUCUGCUUGGUAUUGGAGACCGCCCCGGUGGGGCGGCCCCGAAACGCAGCGGCGACGUAGCCGGACUCCCUGGCGUAGUGACACUUAGCUGUCGCCCCGGAGUGGUCGGUCAUGCGUUUGCCGGACAACGCCCAUAUCCUUAU